rnacentral:rRNA from 1 species
CCUACGGGAGGCAGCAGUGGGGAAUAUUGGGCAAUGGAGGAAACUCUGACCCAGCAACGCCGCGUGAAUGAUGACGGUCUUCGGAUUGUAAAGUUCUUUUCUAAGGGAAGAAGAAAGUGACGGUACCUUAGGAAUAAGCCUCGGCUAACUACGUGCCAGCAGCCGCGGUAAUACGUAGGAGGCAAGCGUUAUCCGGAUUGACUGGGCGUAAAGGGUGCGUAGGUGGUUUGAUAAGUUGGUAGCGUAACUCCGAGGCUCAACCUCGGCACUACUGCCAAAACUGUCGGACUUGAGUGCAGGAGGGGUAACUGGAAUUCCUAGUGUAGCGGUGGAAUGCGUAGAUAUUAGGAGGAACACCAGUGGCGAAGGCGAGUUGCUGGACUGUAACUGACACUGAGGCACGAAAGCGUGGGGAGCAAACAGGAUUAGAUACCCGGGUAGUC